GUGGGGAAUUUUGGACAAUGGGCGCAAGCCUGAUCCAGCAAUGCCGCGUGUGUGAAGAAGGCCUUCGGGUUGUAAAGCACUUUUGUCCGGAAAGAAAUCUCCUGGGUUAAUACCUCGGGGGGAUGACGGUACCGGAAGAAUAAGCACCGGCUAACUACGUGCCAGCAGCCGCGGUAAUACGUAGGGUGCGAGCGUUAAUCGGAAUUACUGGGCGUAAAGCGUGCGCAGGCGGCUAUGCAAGACAGAUGUGAAAUCACCGGGCUCAACCUGGGAACUGCAUUUGUGACUGAAUGGCUAGAGUGCGUCAGAGGGAGGUGGAAUUCCGCGUGUAGCAGUGAAAUGCGUAGAGAUGCGGAGGAACACCGAUGGCGAAGGCAGCCUCCUGGGAUGACACUGACGCUCAUGCACGAAAGCGUGGGGAGCAAACAGGAUUAGAUACCCGGGUAGUCC
rnacentral:rRNA from 1 species